CUUCUUCUUCUUCUUCUUCUUCUUCUUCUUCUUCUUCUUCUGUUUCUCGUGAUGCGCCUCUCUAGCAGAUCGGUCGUCGUCUUCAUCGACGUCAGCACACAGCUGGGCACAAACAGAAACGCGACAUUACCUUCCCUCAAGAGAGAGAACAUUGUUUCAAUGCUCCCCAAGUAGCAUUCGAUGAACAAUUAGCUGGUCGAUAUCCACAUCUGUUCGAAUGACACGGCUUCGUGCACACCACGUGCACAGUCUCAAGCAGACGCUGACGGCUUUGGGAGCAAAUGAACCAUCAGCAACAACCUCAUAGGAGACGGUGCUGAGGCGGCAAAGUACUAUACACGGUCCAAAGUUUAGCACAGAAGUUUCUCCGACAGGCCUCGCCGUCGCACAGUCUGGCCCCUGAAGCAAUGUGUAUCAGUGACCAGAGCUGGAAUGCUGCUGCGCACUACUGCUCAGCUCCGUGUGGAAGAGUACUGCAAUAAAGACAGCAUCUGCCUUUUGGACUCCUUCUGAAGGACAACAUUCAAGUUUUCAUAGACACGCCCCACAGCCUAGACAGUUUCCGGAGGACAGAAAAUACAACUGAGAUUUAUUACCUUGCGGCCAUAUUCAUAAAUUGUGAGCCACUCUGCGGCAAUAAAACACAACUAAAGGCGUCUU
rnacentral:lncRNA from 1 species